rnacentral:tRNA from 1 species
GCGGGAAUAGCUCAGUUGGUAGAGCGCAAUCUUGCCAAGGUUGAGGUCGCGAGUUCGAGUCUCGUUCCGCU